rnacentral:lncRNA from 1 species
GCCUGCCAGGAAGUCGACCGUUAGAAUACCCGAAUAUGUCACAUUUACAAUACCCCGGUAAUUACCUGUAUUAAGCCAUGCUGAUUACAAGAAGACAAGUUUUUGAACGUGGGUCAAGUUAGGUAAAAACCCAAAAUAAGCUAAAAAUAUACGUUAGAAAAAAAAGCAUUUAAAAAAAACUUUUACAUAGGAGAUAAAUCUCAGUUUAUAAUAAGUAUCUCCGGACUUUUUUUCACUUUAUUGAGAC